UACGUAGGGUGCAAGCGUUGUCCGGAAUUAUUGGGCGUAAAGAGCUCGUAGGCGGUCUGUUGCGUCGGCUGUGAAAACCCGAGGCUCAACCUCGGGCCUGCAGCCGAUACGGGCAGACUAGAGUUCGGCAGGGGAGACUGGAAUUCCUGGUGUAGCGGUGAAAUGCGCAGAUAUCAGGAGGAACACCGGUGGCGAAGGCGGCUCGCUGGACCGGUACUGACGCUGAUGCGCGAAAGCGUGGGGGAGCAAACGGG
rnacentral:rRNA from 1 species